rnacentral:rRNA from 1 species
GGAUGAACGCUGGCGGCGUGCCUAAUACAUGCAAGUCGAGCGAACAGACGAGGAGCUUGCUCCUCUGACGUUAGCGGCGGACGGGUGAGUAACACGUGGAUAACCUACCUAUAAGACUGGGAUAACUUCGGGAAACCGGAGCUAAUACCGGAUAAUAUAUUGAACCGCAUGGUUCAAUAGUGAAAGACGGUUUUGCUGUCACUUAUAGAUGGAUCCGCGCCGCAUUAGCUAGUUGGUAAGGUAACGGCUUACCAAGGCAACGAUGCGUAGCUGACCUGAGAGGGUGAUCGGCCACACUGGAACUGAGACACGGUCCAGACUCCUACGGGAGGCAGCAGUAGGGAAUCUUCCGCAAUGGGCGAAAACUUGACGGAGCAACGCCGCGUGAGUGAUGAAGGUCUUCGGAUCGUAAAACUCUGUUAUUAGGGAAGAACAAAUGUGUAAGUAACUAUGCACGUCUUGACGGUACCUAAUCAGAAAGCCACGGCUAACUACGUG